UACGGAGGGUGCAAGCGUUAUCCGGAAUCACUGGGUUUAAAGGGUGCGUAGGCGGCUGUAUAAGUCAGUGGUGAAAGGCUGUGGCUUAACCAUGGGAUUGCCAUUGAUACUGUACGGCUUGAAUUGGGUUGAGGUUGGCGGAAUGUGACAUGUAGCGGUGAAAUGCUUAGAUAUGUCAUGGAACAUCGAUUGCGAAGGCAGCUGACUGGACCUUGAUUGACGCUGAGGCACGAAAGCGUGGGGAGCGAACAGG
rnacentral:rRNA from 1 species